GACUGGGAACAGGGCCAGACAGACUGGCGGGCCGAAUGUAUCUGUAUCUGUAACGAAUCUGUAUCUGUAUCUUUGGGAUUAUUGUUAGACCGGGCAUUAGAUACACAAGAAUAUAUGUACAUACAUAAAGGAGAGAGAUGCGGAGGAGGAAGCCCUCGCCUCUGCAGGUCACUGCAUCACAAUAAUCAAAAAGCAACAUGGCCAACAGAUGUGCGCAACAGGCUCCCAAUCAACGGAAUCACCAGAAAUCAACCGAAAUCCGAAAUCAGACAAAAGGCGAAGGUCUCGGGAAAGGUCCGAGAUGUCACUUGGAGUGUGGCUGGGCCCUAAAUCAAAGUCAUGCAAUGGUCCCCGAUUGUUCUCUUCAGUUUUUUGUAGCUGGUAGCACUGACCAGGCACCAGGCAACAGGCACCUCGCAGCCACCAUCAUUCUCGGCCCGAUUCUGUAUCCGUAGCAUGGAAAUUUUCGUAUUGUACCAGAAAUUUGUGUCAACGUGGGCGACACUUUAUUGUGAACGAGUGUGCCUGUGUGUGUGAUGGCUGGGUGUGUGUAAAAAUAAACCAAAGUCAUUUUAUGUUGUCAGCAACAUGUGGAAAAAUGCUCGGAAUUCGUUCCAUUCUUGCACACUUUUGCAAUGAAUUAAAAAUCGGAUAGAUACAGAAACUCAGAAUCUGAUCAACCAGGCGGCAGCACCUUGUCAGCCCGAGAGGCAUUAAUACUCUCGAGACCUGCCUCGUCCCGUUGCCUCUUCAUCAAAAAAAAAGUGAAGUGCAAUUAACCAUCAUGCUCCCUCUCCAGUCUUCGCCCUUCCUGCACAGUCCAUCUCAUUGUGAUUCUAUCUCAGGUUCGUCUCGGUUCUUCUGCUGCACUUCACAGCAAGGCCCAAGAGCUGAGCAUAAAUCUACCCACACAUCGGCAGAGGAUUCAUCCACUGGGCACGCAGAUACUCACUCGGCAGGGCAACUCCACCGCCAUCGCCUCUGCCUCUGCUCUGUAGUGAGUUCAACCGCGUCAAACAUAAUUUGUAAACGCAUUAAACAUUCCCCUCAUUAACACCUUCAGAGGGUGACUCCAGCUAUCUUGGGAUCUAUAAAUGGAUUUUGAAACAAAACUUCAUGCUUGGCAAAAACUAUCCAGAAGAGGGGUUUCAUUUUCCAUACAGAACCUUAAGGUUCUCGGGUGUGGAACAUGUUUUGUGUUUGACGGGCCACUUUCAACAUCCUCGAUAGUAUAGUGGUUAGUAUCCCCGCCUGUCACGCGGGAGACCGGGGUUCAAUUCCCCGUCGGGGAG